AUGCAAGGUCCUCCUGUUCACAGUGGCCCCGCACCCAGCAGGCGAGCAGUUCCAUGCAAGUCACAUGCCCACGUGCCGGCCUAUCCCUACCCCUGGACCCACCAGGAACUCUCUGGAAGAAGCCUCCCAGAGGACAGAGCCCUCCAAACUCCCGCUGAGGCUUCCUUCCUGGUCUCCCCUUCCCUCCCUCCCUCCUGCCCUUCCUCCCUUCCUUCCUUCCUCCCUCCCUCUGCCUCUAUGCCUUCCCCUCUGAGUAAACACAGCCCUGUGGCGAGGCCCGCCAUGUUCUCGGAGAGCUGCACAUUGCCACCUGUUGCUAUGGAGAAGCCUCUUUAUCACAAACACUGGGUUUACAAAGAGGCCGAAAGCUCAACCAAUCAGGAAGCUCUGAAGUUGGGAAGUCCCUACCCUGUGGGGCGGGGCCUCUGAUCACACUUCCUGUUCUCUGAGAGCAGGGCAUCCCCGCCAGAGGGUGGCUGUGCCCAACCGGAACCUGUCCCUCCGUCCUCUGCUCAUGAUUCUUUGCUGUGUGCACGCCCAGUUCAGCAGACAAGGAGCUCCUUGACAAAAGGAUGUUACGGACAACACCUGUAUACCCCAGCACGUGCUUGGUAGGUGUCUGUUGACCACAGGGACGCAAGGGCCAUGGAAGAGUGAAUGACAGAAGAAGCCGACUCUGAACCCCCCGGGAGGGGGUUGCAGGUGGAGGCAGCUAUGACAGGAUGGACAGGGAAGGAGGGGCAGGAGGCUUCAGGGCGGCACUGCUGGGAACCAGAA
rnacentral:lncRNA from 1 species